GACACCUACAGGAAAGCUUAUCUGUUUUAAUUUCCCAGCUAGAAUUGUUAAAUGAAUAGAAUGCCAUUAUCACACUUCAUUACAUUUUGAAUUGGAUUAAACUCUUGGGUCCAACGAUUUCAUGUUACUACACCACCUAAAAAUCAAUAUAUCAAAUGUGUAUUUUCACCGAGUUUCGAAGUUGCGAAUAAUAUCAAUCAUUGUUAUCUCGCCAUAACCGGUUUUUAGCACAUUUUGUGGCUGCCAUGAUUCGAGUUUUGUAAAUCAAUGUUAUCAUA
rnacentral:lncRNA from 1 species